rnacentral:rRNA from 1 species
AUACAGAGGGUGCGAGCGUUAAUCGGAAUUACUGGGCGUAAAGCGCGCGUAGGCGGCUUAUUAAGUCAGAUGUGAAAUCCCCGGGCUCAACCUGGGAACUGCAUCUGAUACUGGUAAGCUAGAGUUUUGGAGAGGGAAGUAGAAUUUCAGGUGUAGCGGUGAAAUGCAUAGAGAUCUGAAGGAAUACCAGUGGCGAAGGCGACUUCCUGGCCAAAAACUGACGCUGAGGUGCGAAAGCGUGGGUAGCAAACGGCAUUAGAUACCCCAGUAGUCC